AUGCCAAUAAAACUGGAAUAUCACUGGUGCUCUAAAAACCAGAAAUCUUUGAUGCCACCUUGGGAAGCAGAAGGACCCCAGGAAGCCUGGCUUCCUGUCGUGAUCAGUUUGAGGACCGCCUGCAGAAAUGCAGACUCAGCAAAGCGGCGCUCACCACGGGAGAGCCUGCAAAAGGUCAGGGGGAAGGGAGGCAAAGGCAGCCCCACAGAGGUGCCCUGCAUAUUCACACACAGACACGCUGGAAGCAUCCGGCACAGAGCAGAAAAGGUGGUAGAUCUAAGACUGAAAAGCAAAAGCAACAAGGGUGAGCCCGGAGAACAUUAUGGUAAGUGAAAAAAGCCAGACAUAGACACUGCAUAGAUACUGCAUAGAUACUGCAUGAUCUCACUUUCUACGUGGAAUCUAAGAAAGUCAUAGGGCCAGAGUAGAAUGGUAGUUGCUGGAGAUGGCAGGCGGGGUGGGGGCAACGGGGAGAUAUUUGUCAGAGGGCAUACAUUUUUAUAAGUUUCAUAAGAUGAUGAAGCUCUGGGGAUCUGAUGUAUGGUGUAGUGGCUAUAGUUAGUGAGACUAGAGAGUACACUUGAAAUUUGCUAAUAGAGCAGAUCUUAAGCGUUCUCAUCACCACCAUCCUUCCAAAAAAAGGUAACUAUGUAAGGUGAUGGAUGUAUUAAUUGACUUGAUUAUGACAUUCAUUUCACAAUAGAUACAUAUGUUAUUAUUUAGAUUUUAUUUAUUUAUUCAUGAGAGACACACACAGAAAGGCAGACACAUAGGCAGAGGGAGAAGCAGAUUCUCUGCAGGGAGACUGAUGUAGGACUCAACUCCAGGACCAUGGGAUCACACCUUGAGCCCAAGGCAGACACUAGACCACUGAGCCACCCAGGUGCCCUAAUAUAUACAUAUAUUAAGUCCUCAUUGUACAGUUAAAAAAAUCACCUUGUAUAAUCCUAAAAAAAGCAACUUGAUUGGUUUAGGGGUGCCAGAAAAUUUUUUAAAAUUAUUUUUUCAAAAUUUUAUUUUAUUAUUUUUAUUUAUUUAUUUAAAGAUUUUUUAUUUUUUAUUUUUUUUUAAGAUUUUUUUAAAAAGGGAUUUUAUUUAUUUACUCAUGAGACACACACACACACAGAGGCAAAGAUACAGGCAGAGGGAGAAGCAGGCUCCAUGCAGGGAGCCCGACUCAAUCCCGGGUCUCCAGGAUCAUGCCCUGGCUGAAGGGGGCGCUAAACCGCUGAGCCACUCGGGCUGCCCUGGCUGCCCUAUUUUAUUUUUAUUUUUAAAGAGAUUUUAUUUAUUCAUUCAUGAGAGACACAGAGAGAGACGCAGAGACAUAGGCAGAAAAAGCAUGCUCCCUGCAGGGAGCCUGAUGUGGGACUCGAUCCCCAGACCCAGGGAUCAUGCCCUGAGCCAAAGGCAGAUGCUCAAACGCUGAGCCACCCAGAUGCCCCUAUUUUAUUUUUAAGAUUUUAUUUAUUUAUUUGAGAGACAGACUGAGAGAGAGCAAGUACGUGGUGGGGAGGGGCAGAGGGAGAGGGAGAAGCAGAUUCCCUCCUGAGUUGGAAGUCUGACAUGGGGUUCAAUCCUAGUAUGUCAUGUAUGUGACCCAAGCAGACACUUAACCAACUGAGCCACCCAGGCAUCCCAAGGUGUUUUUUUUUUUUUUUUCAGUAAUUUCUACACCCAAUGUGGGGCUCAAACUCAUGACCCUGAGACCAAGAGUUGCAUGCUCUUCUGACUGAGACAGCAGGGUUUCCAGAAACUUUAAAAGUCUAUUUAUUUCCUUUUAGAAAAGAAUGUACUCAUGAAAAAAUGUUUCACGUCACUUGACAUCCAGGAAAUACAAAUCAAAACCACAAUGAGAUACCACCUUAUACCAGUCAGAAUGGCAAAAAUUAACAAGUCAGGAAACAACAGAUCUUGGCGAGGAUGCAGAGACCAGCAAUUGCACUACAAUCCAGUAAUUGCACUACUGGGUAUUUACUCCAAGGAUACAAAUGUAUCCUGAAUCUGAAGGGGCACCUACACUCCAAUGUUUAUAACAGCAAUGUCCAUAAUAGCCAAACAAUGGUAAGAGCCCAGAUGUCUGUCAACAGUUGAAUGGAUAAAGAAGAUGUGGUAUAUACCUAUGCAAUGGAAUAUUACUCAGCAUCACAAAAUGAAAUCUUGCCAUUUUAAAUGACGUGGAUGGAACUAGAUGGUAUUAUGCUAAGUGAAAUAAGUCAAUCAGAGAAAGACAGGUAUCAUCUGAUCUCACUCAUAUGUGGAAUUUAAGAAUCAAAACAGAGGAUCAUAGGGGAGGAAAGGAAAAAAUAAAACAAGAUGAAAUCAGAGAGGGAGACAAACCAUAAGAGACUUAAUCAUAGGAAACAAACUGAGGGGAGUGGGGAGACUGGGUAACUGGGUGAUGGGCAUUAAGGAGGGCAGGUGAUACAAUGAGCACUGGGUACUAUAUAAGACUUUUGAAUCAUGACUUCUACCUCUGAAACCAACAAUACAUUAUAGGUGAAUUAACUGAAUUUAAAUUAUAGAAAAGAAACAAAUAUUUGCCUUUAUUCCAAAGGAAAAAUAAUCUUUUGCUUGUUUGUUAAAGUUUUACAUUUUUAUUUAUUUUUAAAUUGGGAUAAAAUUCACAUAAGAUUAACCAUUUUAAAAUUUUUAUUUAUUUAUUUUAAAUAUUUAUUUAUUUUUUUAGAGAGAGGGAGAGCACACAGCAGGGGGAGGGGAAGGGCAGGGAGAGAAUCUCAAGCAGACUCCUGGCUGAAUGCAGAGCCUGACACAAGGCUUGAUCUCAUGACCCCCACUUAACUGAUUGAGCCCCAUAGGUGCCCCAACCAAUAUUUUUUAAGAUUUUAUUUUUUAUUUUUAUCUUAAAUAUUUAAUUUAUUUAUUUGACAGAUAGAGCGCAAGAAAGCCCAAGCAGGGGGAGUAGCAGAAGGAGAGGGAGAAAGGACGCCAUGGUGGGACCAAUCUCAGAACCCCAGGAUCAUUACUUGAGCUGUAGGCAGGUGAUUAACCAACUGAGCCACCCAGGUACUCUUAAAUAUUUUAUUUUUAAAUAAUCUCUAAACUCACUGUGGGGCUUGAACUUACAACCCUAAGAUGAAGAGUCACAUGCUCCACUGACUGAGUCAGUCAACAGGUUUUAUCCAACGUUUGGCUAUUAUAAGUUAUGCUGCUAUGAACAUUCUUGUGUAUGCCUUUUUUUUUAAUUUAAGAUUUUAUUUAUUCAUGAGAGACACACAGAGAGAGGCAGACAUAUAGGCAGAGGGAGAAGCAUUCUCCCUGAGGCGAGCCUGAUGUGGGACUCAAUCCCAAGACCCUGGGAUCACACCUUGAGCCAAAGGCAGACACUGAACCACUGAGCCAUCCAGGUGCCCUUGUACAUUCUUAAUUUUACUGUAAUUAAAUUUAGUGUUUUCCUUUUGGUUAGUAUUUUUGUGUGUGUGCUAUUAAAGAAGUCCUUCUUGGGCAGCCCCGUGGCUCAGCGGUUUGGUGCUGCCUUCAGCCCGGGGUGUGAUCCUGGGGACCUGGAAUCGAGUCCCACGUCCGGCUCCCUGCGUGGAGCCUGCUUCUCCCUCUGCCUGUGUCUCUGCCUCUCUCUCUAUGUCUCUCAUGAAUGAAUAAAUAAAAUCUUAAAAAAAUUAUUAAAAAAAAAAAAGAAGUCCUUCUAAUCCUUGGGUUGUAAAGAGAGUUUUGGGGACUAUCUCCUGGUUCUGAAUUGUCCAAUAUAGUAGCUACUUGUCACUUUUUUUUUUAACUUUUAUUUAUUUAUGAUAGUCACACAGAGAGAGAGAGAGGCAGAGACACAGAGAGAAGCAGCCAUGCAGAAGCCGAUGGAUCGACUGAUCCCAGAUCCCCCCAGCACGCAACCGCGCACCAGGUCUAUUGUCUUUUUUUUUUUUUUUUUUUUUUCUAGGCAGAGAGAGGCAGAGACACAGGCAGAAGGAGAAGCAGGCAUCAUACAGAGAGCCUGAUGUGGGACUCGAUCCAGGGUCUCCAGGAUCACGCCCCGGGCUGCAGGCGGCGCUAAACCACUGCGCCACAGGGGCUGCCCUACUUGUCACUUUUGAAAUGAGAAUUAAAAUGAAAUAAAAUGAAAAAAAUCAGUCUCUUAGUUCUUUAACUACCUGCCCUAUUGAACUUCUUGGUGGAGGUGGUGACCUCCUAACUGACACAUUCCUUAUGGCCUGGUAAAUACUAUGUCCUUUGAGCCUUUCUGUGAGACACAACAAACAUCUAGUGAGUCUUGCAAUUCAGUGUUCCUAAUACCUUUCAACUCACUUCACCUUCUAUCACGGCAAUACUGGAUCCUUACCCGAACAUUAAGUCCUGUAUCUCCGCAGAGCACUCUCAAGUCAACAAGACUCCUCUUGGGCAGCCCCGGUGGCCCAGCGGAUUGGCACCUGCCUUCAGCCCAGGGCAUGAUCCUGGAGACCUGGGAUCAAGUCCCACAUCGGGCUACCCCCAUGGAGCCUGCUUCUCCCUCUGCCUAUGUCUCUGUCUCUCAUAACUAAAUAAAAAUCCUUAAAAAAAAAAAAACAAGACUCCUCUUUACCCAAUUUUAUCUUCUCCUCCUCCUUUUAAAUUUAUUUUUUAUUUAUUUUUAAAGAUUUAUUUAUUCAUGAGAGACACACAGAGAGAGAGGCAGAGACAUAGGCAGAGGGAGAAGCAGGCUCCUCACAAGAGCCUGAUGUGGGACUCAAUCCCCGAUUCCAGGAUCAUGACCCGAGCUGAAGGCAGCUGCCCAACCGCUGAGCCAUCCAGGCGUAACUUUUAAAUUUAUUUAUGAGAGAGAAAGAGAGACAGAGAACAAGAAUGAGCAGUGGGAGGGGCAGAGGGAGAGAGACAGAGAGAAUAAGAUUUCCCGGUGAGAAGGAAGCCUGAUGGGGAACUUGAUUCCAGGACCUGGAAAUCACAAUCCAAGCCAAAGGCAGACACAACCAAUUGAGCCUCUCAGGUGCCCCUGUUCUGGCCCC
rnacentral:lncRNA from 1 species